rnacentral:rRNA from 1 species
GAUAUUGGUCAAUAGCCUAACGGCUGAACCAGCAACUUGGAGGAAUAUAAAGCAAUAGCUGAUUGCAUUUAAAUGUAGUUACUACUUGGUAGUUUAAAGUUCUAGGUAGAAUUAUGAUGAUGACAUUAUCUAUCUAUUAGUCUUGACCAAAUUACGUGCCAGCAGUCGCGGCAAUACGUAGAAGACAAGUGUUAUUCAUCUUUAUUAGGUUUAAAGAGUACCAAGACGGUUAAUAAAGCCCAAAAUAAAUGAAUACGGGGGACACAUUAACUAGAGUUAUAUGAAAUGAAGCUAUAAGGUACUGUUGAGUGUAGAGAUGAAAUUUAAUGAUACCAGAUGAUUGGCACAGAUUAAUGCGAAGGCAUCUUCUUAUGUAAUAACUGACGUUGUAGGACGAAGGCUUUGGGUGUGAACAGGAUUAGGUACCCCAGUAAUCUUGGCAGAAAAUGAUGAAUGUCAUAGGUAUUAUUGGGUCUAUAAAUGAAAGUGUAAGCAUUCCACCUCAAGAGUAAUUUGGCAACAUUGGAACUGAAAUCAUUAGACCGUUUCUGAAACCAGUAGUGAAGUAUGUUGUUUAAUUAGAUGAUACACAAGAACCUUACCACAAUCUGAAUAUAUAUAAAUUAUAUUUACAAGCGCUGCACGGCUGUCUACAGUUAAUGUCGUGAGAUUUUGGUUAGCUCCAUAAAAUUGACGUAAACCCUAAUUUUAUUUAUAAAUAUAAUUAACAUCGCUAUAUAUGAUGUUUUAAGAGGGAACAUGACAAGUCAUCAUGG